CCGCUGAUUCGCUUGUGG
rnacentral:snRNA from 1 species